rnacentral:rRNA from 1 species
UGAUGUUAGCGGCGGACGGGUGAGUAACACGUGGGUAACCUACCUAUAAGACUGGGAUAACUUCGGGAAACCGGAGCUAAUACCGGAUAAUAUUUCGAACCGCAUGGUUCGAUAGUGAAAGAUGGCUCUGCUAUCACUUAUAGAUGGACCUGCGCCGUAUUAGCUAGUUGGUAAGGUAACGGCUUACCAAGGCAACGAUACGUAGCCGACCUGAGAGGGUGAUCGGCCACACUGGAACUGAGACACGGUCCAGACUCCUACGGGAGGCAGCAGUAGGGAAUCUUCCGCAAUGGGCGAAAGCCUGACGGAGCAACGCCGCGUGAGUGAUGAAGGUCUUCGGAUCGUAAAACUCUGUUAUUAGGGAAGAACAAACGUGUAAGUAACUGUGCACGUCUUGACGGUACCUAAUCAGAAAGCCACGGCUAACUACGUGCCAGCAGCCGCGGUAAUACGUAGGUGGCAAGCGUUAUCCGGAAUUAUUGGGCGUAAAGCGCGCGUAGGCGGUUUUUUAAGUCUGAUGUGAAAGCCCACGGCUCAACCGUGGAGGGUCAUUGGAAACUGGAAAACUUGAGUGCAGAAGAGGAAAGUGGAAUUCCAUGUGUAGCGGUGAAAUGCGCAGAGAUAUGGAGGAACACCAGUGGCGAAGGCGACUUUCUGGUCUGUAACUGACGCUGAUGUGCGAAAGCGUGGGGAUCAAACAGGAUUAGAUACCCUGGUAGUCCACGCCGUAAACGAUGAGUGCUAAGUGUUAGGGGGUUUCCGCCCCUUAGUGCUGCAGCUAACGCAUUAAGCACUCCGCCUGGG